rnacentral:rRNA from 1 species
AGGAAUGGCCAUACCACCCUGAAUGUGCCCAGUCUUAUCUCAUCUUGGAAGCUAAGCGUGGUUGGGCCUGGUUAGUACUUGAAGGGGAGAAACGGAAGGAAUGCUACUGAGUUCAUUUCAU